rnacentral:snRNA from 1 species
UUAUCCUGCUUAAACUAUGUAAAUGGCAACAAUAAAAAAUCUGUUCUUAUCAGCUUAAUAUCUGAUACGACGUCGACAUGACGUCAAGAUAUUAAACUAAUUUUUGCAGAUAGGCUUGUGGUUAGGAAUUUAUUCCGCCCUCGCCACGGGUUGGCCUGCUAUGGCACUACUUGCAGGAUACGGCCCACAAUAU